AGUGAACGCUGGCGGUAGGCCUAACACAUGCAAGUCGAACGGCAGCACAGUAAGAGCUUGCUCUUACGGGUGGCGAGUGGCGGACGGGUGAGGAAUACAUCGGAAUCUACUUUUUCGUGGGGGAUAACGUAGGGAAACUUACGCUAAUACCGCAUACGACCUACGGGUGAAAGCAGGGGAUCUUCGGACUUUGCGCGAUUGAAUGAGCCGAUGUCGGAUUAGCUAGUUGGCGGGGUAAAGGCCCACCAAGGCGACGCUCCGUAGCUGGUCUGAGAGGGUGAUCAGCCACACUGGAACUGAGACACGGUCCAGACUCCUACGGGAGGCAGCAGUGGGGAAUAUUGGACAAUGGGCGCAAGCCUGAUCCAGCCAUACCGCGUGGGUGAAGAAGGCCUUCGGGUUGUAAAACCCUUUUGUUGGGAAAGAAAAGCAGCAGGUUAAUACCCCGCUGUUCUGACGGUACCCAAAGAAUAAGCACCGGCUAACUUCGUG
rnacentral:rRNA from 1 species